rnacentral:lncRNA from 1 species
ACAUAUCUAGUCUUUCCCCAAGUAUUACGAUAAAAUAUUUAUACCUAUCACAUUCAUGAUUCACAGCUUACACUCUAAAAGAGUACUUAAGCCUUUACUCAUUCAUAUGAUAAGGACCAUAAUACCAUUUGGCCCAAUCUCACCCCGCGCAAAUACCACGCGAAGCGGCUCUGAUUUUUUUUUUUUUUUCUACAAGUGGUCACUUAACUUUCAAACCAGUCCCACAGUCCGGCAUCCUAAACUUCAAACUUAGAAUACACUACAAAGAUCUG